rnacentral:lncRNA from 1 species
CUGGUUCAUAAUCAAUACCAAAUCCAAAUAAAAAUCUAAGGAAACGACAGGAUUUCCUAAUUUGAGCUCUCUUCCUCUUCUUUUCCAAAUGUCGUUGCUAAGAGCUAUCUUCAAUUUGUGGAUCCGUCCGCCUGUUCUCUGGGUCAUUAAUUUUUUCUGAGGUGAAACUGAUAUUUUUAGUUCGCAAAGGUUUGUGUUCAUUUUCUCUUUGAUUUCUCCAUUUGAGAAUUGUGCUCCUUACCUUCCUCAAAUGAUUAUAUAUAUAUAUGUUUUCCGGUGGAGAAAGUAGAACCCAUGGUGGAUUAGAUAGAGGUUCUUAGUGUCGUUAUUUGAGGAUGGAAUUUCUUAUAAGUGACUGGGCUUAUUUUUCUCCUCUUUCUGCUUCCUAAUCUUACUCCACGAUCUUAUUUGCAGCUAAAGUAGUAGAUGGGAUAAUUGCGAUGCCCCAGAUUUUCUUCUUUUGGUGCUCCUUUUCAGUGAUAGUGUAGAUCCUUCCCAUUUGACUCUGAAAGCCUCAAUUUUUGUUUCGACUCUUUUCAUAAGAUGACAUAAGCUUAAUCUAGGUAGCUUAGUAUUACUCACAGUUGUGAAGCCUUUGUGAUGGAAAAAACUUAUUCUAUACAUAUCAUGAUUGUGAGACCUUGAUGUGUGGUCCUUAGUUCUGUGCAUUCUGGAUUAUUUUAUUUUUCUGGAUCUGAUCCUCAAUGUUGACAUUUGUGCUUUAUCUAUGUUUAAGAUUUUGUUGCCUUCAACUGGUAGUUGCUGGAAAGUAUAUCCUUGUAAGAAAUUUCCAUACUCUAAUGUUGUGUUUGCCAAACUGCCAGGUAACCGAUUUGCUUCUAUAAAGAUAUGAUUGAUGAUUACUUGCAUAUCCAUUCUUAAUUAUUGCACUUCCUCAAACAUAUCUGUAAUUUGCCAGGGUAUCUUUCAUUCCCUCAUUAUCGUAUUUCUUAGACUAGUGAAUCAGUUUUCAAAAUAAUAUGAUGAAGGUUAAGAAGUUUGAACUGUCUUAAUGCCCAUGACAGUGGUCUCUACUUCCAUUUUAGUGAUGAUUCCUAGGGUGUUUGUCUUUACAUAGGUCAAAUUUUCAUGGUUGUCUCUAAUGCAAAAACGAUAGGAUCCAUUUCCAAGAUUUCCUCUACUAGCACCAUCAGUAUUGCACUUAACCUAUCCAGUGUUGAAGAAUGUCUUUUUUAAAGAAUUUUAGGCUUAUAGCUUUGAAAAACUCUCACCUUCUUACCAAAGCUUUGGCACUUCUAUCCAUGGAAAUUUGAUCUUGACAAGUUGGUAUAUAGUUAUCUGACUAUGAUGGAGAAGCUUAUGAUAACUAUACUCUUUAUUAUGCCUUCUUGAGUUUCUUUUUUUCCACAACUCCACACCAAGAUUGGUGGAACAGGCUUGAAUAUAAAUUUCAGCUUUGAUAGAGCUGAGGCGUUCCAUCACCUUGUAAUCAACUGUUGUAAAGAAGCAUCAACAAAUCCAAUUCCUGCACAUGAAGCAAAAUAUUUUUAUAGCUUUUGGGCUACGGGAGCUGUUAGAAAAAGGCGAGGCAUUGUUUUCUGCUCUUAGUUUUCACACUAAUAACAUAUGGAUGCUAAAUUGAUCCUCAUCCUUCUAAUAUUGACUUCAGUAUCAAUUCUUCUUUUCCCUAUCCGUUAAUGAAAGAAGUUAAUCUUAAGAGGCAAUUCUUAGAUCUAGAUAUUUAUUAACGGGUCCUGCUCGUCCCUCUUACUUCUCAUGAUUCUAUAUGCCGAUUUGAUUGAGAAAAGUCCACUAGUAUCAACCAUCCACCGAGGAUUAUCAUUGACAUCCCCACCAAAUUAAGACUUAUAUUCUUAAUGAUAUGCUUUUUCAUCUCCUUAAAAAUACUUUCUAGUAAUAUCUGUUUAUCCCACUCUCUAUUUUUUAUGAACCAAGUCAUCUCUAUCUCCCCUUCUUCUAUAAUAUUCUCCUCAAGAAAAUACAAAGCACCUUGUUUGGUCCAAUUGUCAAAAAAGAAAAUAGAAUUUCCAAACUUUAGUUGCCACCAAAUAUCAUGCUCAACCUCUUCUUUUACACUCAUCAUUUCCUCCAUACAUGAGAUGCACCAUCUCCUUAGUUAUCAUAGGGUGCGAUUUCUUGCAAUACUUGUGCAGUCCCUUCUAGUUAUUUUUUAUAUUUUCACUUAUCUUCACUGUUAGGGCUUCUCCAUAGCUGCUUCAAGUCAUUUAUGACUUAUUGGGAUUGGCCGUUCGAUUCUCGGACAGUUUAUUUAAUUUUUUGAAUCAAUUUCCUAUUUAGAAGUCUUUAUUGGUUUUAAACGGCUACCAGGCAAAAACUUUAGUAAGAAAAUCUUGGAUGCCAAUUUUGACUGCGACAACGGAUCUUGAAUAUCGAUUUUAGGCUAGGUAAAUCCUUGUUUUGGGUCCCAAUGCACCCGAGCUCAUUUCGACCAAUUGGUCAAAAAGUUGAAAAAUCAUAAAGUAUGGGUAUGGGUUCCACAAUUGUUCUACACGACCUUGGGUGGAAAAUUCAACUUCACCAAUGUGUCUGAAAUGUUGAAUUUAGUAGUGUUACAUAGUUUGUUUGAGAAAAUCGGAGUUCGAAUGAGUUCGAGGUGUUGGUGCUAGUGUAUGGCGAUCGCGAUGAGGCCUAUUGUGAUUGCAAAAUCGCGAAAGUGACCCCUAGAUGGAGAUUGCGACUUCUCUGUACUGGUAUGGGUAUAAAAGGGCACCUUAGUCUGUGUUUUGGUCAUUUUGACUCAUUUUUGGGACCUAGAAACCCUAAGAGGGUGUGAUAACUCAAAAUUGAGUCUUGUGGGUGCCUUGGGAGCUGGAUUAACAUAUAUUAUCGUGAUUAUCAUCCAAAUUAAGGUUAUUUCAUCACUUUAUUGAUGAAUUUCUUAGUUUUGACCCCAAACCCCAAAUUUUUUAGGGCUUGAUUUUAGCCCCAAAUUAGCUUUGUUUUCACCCAUUUCGUGUGGGUUAUGAUUCUUUGAUUAUAUAUGAGCAUUAGGUAGACCUUGAAAAUGCAUUUUUCAUAAGUGGGAUCCACUUAGAGGUUUUUGGUGUUGUUUUUGGACCUGAAGCACAAUAGUGCAAUAUGGACAUUAUUAUUCUUGUAUUGAUGAGUAGAUUAUGAUUUUGAUAGUGUGAUGGCAUGUUGGCAUUGUGAAGUGGAGAUGAACGUUGGUGUAUGAUGUAUGAUUUUGCAGUUUGGCUUUGAGGUAGGCUUCUACCUACUCUACUUUGAAGAGGAUGUGUGUUAUAUAUUCCAUAUGCAUGUGAAUGUUAGGAUUGAUUAUAAAUAGAAUGGCUUAGUUUUGGUUAUUGAGGUUUGGGGAUUAGAUGAGGGUUUUGGACCAGUAAGGUGAAAUGCUUAUUACCUUUUUGAAUCCUAUUGCCUUCUCCCUAGAUUGAACUAGUUUGUUGUAUGGAAAUGUUAUGAUGCUAGGUUUGGGAUGUGGUUCAAGUGUUGGAAUCAUGGUUAGUGUGAUUAACCUUAGUCUGACUUGUGUAGUGAUCUUGAAAUCGUAAUUUGGCUAAAGUUGGCUUAAAUGACUAUUUUUCUCGAUGAAGUUCUUAUCGUAGGAUUGGUUAUGACUUGCUUGACAUCUAGAAGUAUAAAUAGAUACCUUAGCCUAAUUUGGGGUAUAAGUUGCCUAAUUAUAGAAAUUGAAGAGUAAAAGUGGUAUCAUCCGACCCACUUUGACCAAGAUUUGUGUUAGCCCUUGUGGACUUAGUUGCUGAUGAUAGACAUAGUUGAGACUAUUAAGCCCUUAGAAUAAGCUUACUUCGUGGCUUUGAAAAUUUGUGAUUUAUUUUCUCCCGGAUGAUGAUUAAUGGCUUAUGGCUGUGGUAUUCCUUCCUCUUAGAUAUGAUAAUUGGCCUAUAAAGAUGAUAUUUCCUCUAAGACAUGAUAUUGGACCUCUAGAGACGUUAUUUCUUCUUAAAUGCGGUAUUAGGCCUUUAGAGAUGUAUUUCCUCAUAGAUAUGAUAAAUGACCUUUAGAGAUGUGAUUUCCUCUUAGAUAUGACAAUUGUCGUAUUAAGAUGAUAUUCCUCAUAGUCAUGAUAUGUGAUCCAUAUAUGUGAGAUGCCUUAUAGAUGCAAUGUGCCUUAUCGUUAUGAUUUAUGGCCUAGUGAUAUGUUAUAUCACCUAGAUGUGAGAUGCCUUAUAAUAUUCCUCCCAGAUGCGAGAAGUUUACAAAUAUGCUUUGUGGCCCAUAGAUAGUUUAUGCCUCGUAUUUAGGCUAUGACUUAUGAAUAUGAGAUGGCUUAUGAAUAUGAUUACUGCUAUGAGUUUCAGAUAUGUAUGUGGGCCUAAGGCCGUGAUAUUAAUGUUUUGAUUAUCCGAAUACAUUAUUGGGAAAAAGACAGUGUUAAGAUAUGAGUUGGAUAUCCGGGAAGUAUUUAUCCUGGUAAAGGAUACAAUUGUAGUUCAUGAAUAUAUAUAUGUGUGUGUGUGAGAGAGAGGGGGGGUAUGGAUGGAGGAAGAUGCGGUAUGUCAUUUACGACUUCAUUGAUAUGGAUACUGGUGAUGGCAUGUAUAGAUCCGGUACAUUCAUGGUCAUUAUAUCUGUAAAUGAUGUAAUUCUAGUUAAAAUACGAUCCUAUGACUUUUUUUCCUAAAUAAGAGUUAAAGACCCAUUAUUCAUCUUAAAAACAGAUCUCUUUCCAAUAAUAACUGUCUGAAUAAAUGGAUAAUUUAUAUAUAUAUAAGAGGUUAAUAAUGAUGUUCUUAAAAAUUGACCGAUACAAAUUUCGAUCCAUGAUUUGACACUAUUAAUUACUCCGAUCAUGAGAAAUUCUGAUCCCUUUCUACACUUUUAUAAUGAUUUAGUCCCGAAGUUCACUUCGGGCAAUUAACUUAUAAAUUUACACCCUUUUCACCCCAACUUAAGCCCGUGCACCUAUUAUAUAUAUAUAUAUAUAUAUAUACAUUGAUGAUUCUGAUGAUGUGCUUAUUGAUACCCGACAAGGCCGUAGGAUAUUGUGAUGAUGAGAUGGAUACCCGACAAGGUUGGGGGAUACUGUGAUGAUGUAUUGAUACUCGACAAGGCUGGAGGACAUUGUGAUGAUAUAUUGAUACCCAAUAAGGUCGGAGGAUAUUGUGAUGAUGUAUUGAUAUCCGACACGACUGGAGGAUGAUUAUGAUGAUGAUAUUAUGAUAUUGUGGAUUCUAUUGCAUUCAUACUUGCAUGCGCAUCAUCUAUCACCAAUAUGCUCCUAUGUUUAUCAGCCGGUACGGGACUGUUGCAUAAAUAUGGGUGAUGACUAUGACUUGUGUUGUUGUAUGCUGAUUGAGCCUUUCGAGCCUGGGGCGGUGGCAGUAUGCAUAGGCUCGGUUAGAUAUUUGGUUGUCCGAAAUAGUCGGUUACUCACGCUGUUAUUGGUGUUGUUAUUAUCAUUGUUAUGAUCGCUAUUAUGGCUAGUUUAUGACAGAUUGGUCAUUGAUUCAGUAUCGAGACUUGAGGUAUGUUUUUGGCCUCUUCUACCUUACGAUUGUAUUAUUAUGCAUGAUUAUUUCAUGUCUAGCCAUGUGGAUUAGAAACCCGGCGUAUGAUAACAUUAAAUACUGAUAGGAUUAUAAUGAGGUCUUAACAUGAAGACAUGAUGAUUUAGGUUAUGACUUGAGUUGACACUAUAUGUAUAUAUAUGUGUAGCUAUAUGUAGCUAUGGUGCUACCGUAUGUCCCCUCCUUCAUUCGCUCAUAUUGCUCAUAUUGUAUAUUCAUUCCUUGGCCUUGUAUAUUAUUAUAUCCUUCUUUUGCCCUUUAUUCAUAUAUUGACCUGGGAUAUACGGUAUAGUAUUGAGAUUCACGAGUAUAGAUGGAAUAGGACAAUUCAUCCUUGAUACUUUCUUAGCCUCAUUAUGUUAGACUCUUGGACAUGAAUAGGAUAGUAGUUCCUUAGUAUCUCAUUGGCUUGCUGAAUAAUUUCUGGACUCUUGAGUAUAGUUUCCAUUCUGUGUAUAUAUUGUAUAUAUCUGCUUUAUCUUUGGUGCUUAGUUGACAGUUGCCUACUGAGUACCAUUCAUUUGGUACUCAUACUAUACUUCUGCAGCCUGAUCAUAAUACAGGUUAUUGCCGUUGAUGUGUGCGUUGUGCGGAGCAGACCUAGAGUGAGCUCCUGACAUUUAGAGUAUUACUUAUAUCUCUCUUAUGCAUUAAACUAGUCUCUAUAUUGUAUUCAGAGAUAAGUUGUAUCAGUGUAAUUCUUUGAUAUUUCAUUUUUAUACUCUUAUUAUAUUAGAAUCUUUUGUACUGAUACCAUUAGGUUUUGGGAUUUAUUCAUUUAUUUUAACUUUUGUUAUAUUUAUUUUGCAUUCCUUGCUUAAUCUAUUUGGCAGUCCGUUACUAGUCGUUCUGAACUAUGGUUUGGCUUGCCUACAGGUGGGUUAUAGUAGGCGCCAUCAUGACCUAAGAAAUUGGGUUGUGAAAACUUGUUCCCCAUGAAGGAACUUUAUAGAUAUAAAGUUGAAAUCCUAAAAUUUCACCAUAGUUUGGAAAAUAGAGCCUUAGAUACAUCAUGUAGGGAUCUAAAUUUAGAGCCACCUUUAUCCUGUAGAAAACAUAAAUCUUCUCAGGCCACCCAAUGAUUUCCUUUUUUUCCACCUGUCAUGCUCCAGAAGAAUUUGGCAAAGGUAUAGUGAAGAAUUUGGCAAAGAAGAAUAUAUAUACAAACACAUAUAUACGUAUAUAUACAUAUAUACAUAUAUAUACAUAUAUAUAUAUAUAUAUCAAUUUCUUCCUUCCUACUACUAUUGUAUUUGUAUAUCUCUUUCUUCACUAUACCAUCAUUUAUAGACUAGCUACUUAUGGAAACGCAUUUCGUCCCUAAUUACUGGUAGUAUUUGAUAGUUUACCCUUUUUCAUUAGCAUUAUUAGAUUUCGUUGCCUAAAUAGUUUUUUGUUCUUUAGAUCUCAAUUAGUUGAUGCCUACUGAGUACCUCAUGUUUAGUACUUAUACUAGACUUUUGCAGCCUAAUCAAGGUAAAAAUUCUUACCAUUAAUGUGCGUGUCAUGCAGAAUAACCAUGGAUUGGAGAUUUGGAGUGAGAUCCUAACGUUUGGAGUUGUUCCUAAUCUCCCCCUUAUUGUUAGACAGAUCUCUAUUUUUAUAUUUUAGAGACAACUUUGAAUCUAUUUACUCUUUAUUCCACUUUGUACUCCUGUUGUAUUAGAAGUUUUAUACUAAUUUCAUCAGAUUUUUGGGGAUGUAUAUAUGCGCUAUACUGAUAACCAUAUAUGAAGGUACUACUCUGAGGGAGCUACCUAACUUCACCGGGGUCAUACAUAGUAAGGGAUCUAACAAUAGAAUAAUGAGGGUCUCUAGCCGAAAUGGGAAUAAUCAGAAUAUACUCUAACAAUAAUAAACUUAACAUAACAAGGUGACAAGGGAUCACAAAUGCACCGAUAACCUCGGGCACCAAUCCAUAACCAAUCUACCGUAAACCAUUCAAUAACAACCAACAAUAACGUAACCAGAUAGCUCAGACAAUCAAUAGCCCAACCAGGACCUCAUAAGCCCAGAGGCACAAACAAGCAAUCAACAGACAAUAAUCAUAACUUGUAUCUAUACAGCUCCCCAUAAGACUAAUAAAUACAAGUGCCAAACAAUAAUAUUUGUGACAGGCAAUGCAUAUUAAUGAAUGCAAGGAUAAAGCAGUACCAUCAACAAAUCAAGUGCCAUAAUGUACCAAGUGCAUACACCUUUCUAACUUAGUAGCUCACAAAGGCAGAAUCUAUGGCGACUAUCUUUCUCCAAUACUAUGGCUCAUUGAAUGAAAGGGGCCCAUAAGAGACUCAGAAUGUCUCUAUACACAGCAUGCUCCUAAACCAAGACUUCCAAAAUAACCAUCAUAACAAAUCUACUCCAUUUAGUAUUAGAGAAAAAUAAGAAUAUAAAGAAAUGUUCAAAAUUGAACUGAGACUAAAUCUGUAUAAAUCUAUAAGUCUGUUGUCCGAGAUCAAAUCUGGGAUUAAAAUGGUAUAAUAAUAUAGAAAGGGUAUGAAUCUCUCGCACCAAAGUGCAUAAGUAGUGGUAAAAAGGAGUGGAUCAAUAACGGACUUGAAUCAACUUCAGUCUAUGUUUUCAGGGUAUUUUGCUUAGUUUAAAUAUCAUAAUCCAAUAAUAAGGAUAGUAUAAUUUUCAAUUUAAAAGAAUUAAUUUUAGAAGUAAAAAAGUGAGAAUAAUUUUUUUUUUAGAAAACAAUAGUAAAACCAAGGUUCCAACUGAAUCGCACAACUAAAUAAGCAUAAAUGCGUCUAAAUGUAUGAACGUCAUCGCGAGUAUCCAAACAACAUAAUCGUAACCAUGGACUAGCGCGGUUUCUAAUGUUAGUCCUUUGGACUACACUUUCAUGGCUCAGCUACACAUCCCGCUUUAAAGCCCAAUUUAAAACCAUCAUUUCACAACACAACCAUUAAGCCAAUUACUUAACAAAGUCACUUCGUUGGUAUUGUCUUACCUUCACCACUUGUAAGCGUACAACAUGCCAUAACCUUUAUUAUUCAACUUUAGGACUCGAACACAUUGUCUAUACAAAUCCAUCAAUUCAAUUCAACAUUUAAGGACUCAAACUUAUUAUCUAGUAGGGACAUAAAUCAAUUUAAUGUUUAGGGACUCAAACCCUUUUUAGCCAAUUGAACCACCAAGGUUACCAUGACCAAAAAGCCUUUCACAAAUCCAUUUACCAACAAUUCAUAUUCAUUAGGCCAAUGCCUUAGUUAAAAAACACCAUUAAACAUGUGACUAGUUUGUUCUCUUAGACAUUUUUACAAACACUUUGAGGGCAUACCAUUAACAAGACCAAGACCAAAGUAAAAACCAUUUAGUUUAGGAUGAACCAUUACCCAAUUGUUAAACCACAAUUACCAAGCACCCACAUGUGCAAACCAAUAUCAAAAACAUGUAUAAACACAAUUCAAACCAGGAGUAAAUAAUACUCAACAAUAUGCAACAUGUCCCUCAACAUAGGUUUUCAAAACUACCAUUAAUAAACCAUAAUCAAUGUAAACACAUGAUAUUUGAGAACUAACAAUAAAGAAAGAGUCACAUGACUUAUUCAUGAAGAUUGAUGGAAAGAACUUGACUCUUGAUCCUCUAGAUAACACCUUAUAGAAACCCUAGCCUAAUCUUUAAG